rnacentral:lncRNA from 1 species
CCCCCCGCCCCGUCCUAUUUGCUCCAAUUUCUUGCCUGCUGAAUUUUUAGAAGUGUUACUGCUCCCACUAAUUUUAUUUAGACGUUACAUAAUACAAUUUCAGGUCAUCGAGAAUAUGUAGGAAGGACGCAGAUUAGAAUAGAAUGAUAAUUGGGUAGAGUGUUGUGUGUUGCUUUUUCAGGUUUUAACCUUAUUGGUGUUUGUUGUGCACUAGCCAUAGCAUGAUAGUUUAGGGUUUAGCCAUAAAUAUGGAGGUGGAGCUGAUCCCUACUUCUGAUAUUGUUUAUUGUGUUAUUGCACUAUUUUGUGAUUGAUUAUUGUCUCUUGCUUUAAGAGUUUGCGCUGUUACCUUAUUAGUUGCUGCAUUUUCUUCACUGUUUUCUUCUUGUUUGUACCUGGAUUUGUAUACUUGAGCCGACUGUCUUUUGGAAACUGUCUCUCUACCUCUCCAAGAUAGCGGUAAGAUCUGCGUAUACUCUACACUCCCCAGUCCUCACUUGUUGGAUUUCACUAGGCAUGUUGUUGUUGUAGUAAUGUGCACCAAAAGGAAGCUAAGUCUUAAUUUUGCAGAGAAAUCUCUCCAUUUUAAAGCCAUUCUGAGUGAUACUGCUUCUAAUCUUUGUCUGAUGGCUAGAAAUACUGUUAAAAGACUUUUUUGUUUUUAUAUAUCAAGUAAUGUAAAGAAUUCUGUAUUACUACUUUUUUUUUUUGUUAAAAAAAAAGGGUGAAGAUUGUUAUUCUGUAAUUAAUAGAAAGAAUAACAGUUUACUCUCUUUUGCUGGCUAGAUGACUUUAUACUUCACUAUAGGUAAGUUUUCAGUUUCGUCGACUUUGGUUGAACAUGAUAAUUUUACACCCAAAUCAAUACUAUAGGUAAGUUUUCAGUUUCGUCGACUUUGGUUGAACAUGAUAAUUUUACACCCAAAUCAAUUAGAAAAAUUAAGUUCAGCAAUUUCUUCUUAUUAGUUUCUGGUGGAAGGCACGUUUAUCUGCCCUUUUUGUUUUAGCUCUCAUUUGUUUUGGUUAUGUGAAGUACCUCCUAUGUAUUUUAAUGUAGUUAUGCUCAUCUGGAUACAACUCAGUUCCUAUUCCCUUGCUUGCAGAUGAUACAUUAGAGAUAUCAAGCCGAGGGUCUGUAGAAACAGCCUCUCUACCCUACAAAUGUAGGAGUAAGGUAUGCAUACAUCCUACCCUUCCCAAACCCCAGGAUUAAUAAUACUGUGUAUGUUGUUGUACAUUAGAGACAUCAAGCAAUGAUGGAGUGAAAAAUCUAGUUCAUGUUCCUUGUUGUUCAACUCUAGGAGAAUAUCUAAAGAGUAAGAAACGGUUAUUGAUUGUAUCUACCACGGUAUUAGUAUUCAUUGGUAUCUAUAAAAUUCUGUUGUUAUGAGUGUUAUCUUUUUAAACUGCAGCAGAGGAAAAAUUUUGAUGUUCUAAUUAUGAUCAAUUGUCUUGGACAAAGAAUAUACAAGUAUGAUUAUUGUGCAGAAAUGCAAAAUGUAAUUUCACAUUGCAAAAAUAUCUUACAAUUGCUCUAUUUCACCCUUUCAACGAUAUUCACGGAGUAUAUGGAAUCAGUUAGAAAGUAUAUAUAACCAAGCAGAGUACUGCUUGAAAUCUCGCACCUACUGCUUCAGUUACGUAACUCGGUUUAUCUAUUAAUAUAGUAUAUACAAACUCCUUCUGUCAAAGCACAUAGUUAUCAUCUCUAAAUAAGUAUUGGUGGCGAGGAUUUCGGAUCCUGAAGGGAGAUUACAGUUUCAAAAGCACCCACCAAAGCCUUGACCUUGCUUCUCCGGGUCUCCUCAAGCUUGGUUGCAGUCUCUUCGAUCACAUUGUUGAACAAGAUUGGAGCCUCUUUUUUGUCUCCUCUAGAUUGGUGCCGAAGAUUAACUUUCAUAGUUUCAUCUUUUGCAGAAUUUGACUUUCCAUAAGCAAUAAGUCUCCGAGAGCUUCUUCCUCUAACAUGAGAAAUUUCAUUUCCGUUGUUCUCUAGUGUUUUGGCGGGCCUGAAUUUUAGUCUCCUUGGACUGAGUUUCUCAGACUGAAAAUCAAUUAUUUUUCCUCUCCUGAACUUGAGAUUUUUAGGACUGCCAUUGCAGCCCUUCCAGCUUUUAUAUAUUAGUUUGGAGUUGCUGUUCCACUUUUCUUGGAACUGCUGACUAUUGCAUCACCAUUAGCAGACUCGCAUGCAGAAGUUGAUGAUAGGGAGGAUUUCCUGUUGCCAAUGUUUCUGGAGCUACUGCCAUCAGAAUAUAGAGAAGAUGAUGGGGAGAGAAUAGGUGAUGAUCUCUUUCCUCUUAUUGGGCCAUGCCUAUCUAAGGACGAGACUCUGAGCUUCUGAUUUCCCGGAGCGAUCUGUAUGGUGUGGCUUUUAGUCUUUGAUUCUCUGAUGUACAAUUUUCUAAGUUGAGAUGCCUUGUUUGGAAAUUUUUCAUGACUUGGUUGCACUUUUUCCGUUCAUGCAAGGCUAGUCAAAUUAUUAAUUAGAGAUCCCUUGUUUGGAUCAGCUUCAUGAAUCACUUUGCCUGUUUUGCUAGGAAGACUAAACUGCUUAUUGCAUUGAGAUACCAUUCUCAUGGAAUUGUUAGUUAACUUUUCGCCUGAUGCCCUCUUCACAGAAGUUCUUGCAGAGUUGGAAAUACUUAUGGCAUCCAUUUUCUUGCUCAACCCGGAGGAUCCCCUUUUGACAGAUAUUUUGGUGGAUUCUCGGAUUUUCUGUGCCUGGGCUCGAAAAGUUGUUGGGCUGGGUUUCUUCCCUUUAUGCAUCUUCACAGUUGUAGCCAUUUCUCGAAUUUCUCCUGAUGGUGUUACACGUUUUGUCGGUUGAAGGGGCCUUUGUCGAAGUUGAAGUUGAAGUUGGAGUUGAAAAUUGUGUUUGGCCAUGACGUAAAUUGAAGUUGUUUUUGAAAUUUUGUAAGAGAAAUAAGAGUAAAAAAAGUGAAAACUUUUCCAAAUAAUUUUCACUAAAGUGAAAUAAUUCUUAUGGUCAAACACUACUAUUUUCACUUUUUUCAUUAAAGCGAAAUAAUAUUCCAAAAAAAGUGAAAAAUUCUUAUGGCCAAACGCCUACUAAGAACAAUCAAUUACUCUGAAGGUUCUCAGUACUUCGCACACAGCUGCCAGGAUGCUCUACUACCUUGAAUAAAACCUUGUUCUCGUAUGCAAUAUAUGGCGGAUUAUUUGACAUAGAUCUUCCUUAUAUAGUGUAGCCAGGGGCGGAGCUACACUUGGCCGAGGGGAUUCAUCCGAACCUCCUUCGGCAAAAAUUUUUACUAUUUAUACAUAGUCAAAAUUAUUUUUCGUAUAUAUACAGUAGAGGUUAAACCCCCUUCGAUUAGUUCUUAUGUUUACUUUUGAAACCCUUAACGAAAAUCCUGGCUCCGCCACUGAGUGUAGCUAAUUGUGGGAUGUUGCUCCACAACCUUAGUUAUACAGAUAAGGUCAUACAUUCCUUGAUUGAUAAAACUACUAAAGUCCUAAUGCAAUUUAGUUUCCUCUCAUAGUGAUAUGUUUUGAUUUGUUUCCUUUUUUACACUUGACACUUCACGUGACAAUCACACGUGUGCAAGGUUAGGAGCUAAGUUUACUUUGUCUAUAAUCAAAAUCAAAAUCAAAAUCACAAUCAAGAGUAAACACACUUAAUCAUACACAAGUUGCUACACUUAUCUAUUUCCCCUUUUUUAAUGAUGACAAACUCGUGUGUGCGUGAAAUAAACUAAAAGUCAAAUGAAUUCAUAACGCAUUAAUAAGUGAGUACUGAAUGAGAUCAACAAAUCAUAAUUCACCACCACAACAACAAACUUCAUCAUAACUUCAACAAUAUCAUGCUUUCCUUUUUUAGCAUCAUAAAAAAUAGGUAAUCAAGGAUAUAACAAAGACAUAAUUAAAGUGCAAUGAUAAAUGUUCAUGACCACUGAGGCAACACUAAUGCAUACUUAACAGGAAAUAAUCUAUAGAUACUGAGGAUAUCAGCCAUCUCACAAUGGAACUAAAACAAUCAACAUAAGAAGGAGCAAUAAGAAUUCAAAGCAUGCACGAGUUUAAGCCAAAUUGGCCCUAAAUAAAAAAAAAAGAGUUAAGCAGUCACAAAAACCAACAAUAAUUGUUUGUGACAUCAAUCAGAUCCAAAAUAAGAAGAGAGAGUGACAAGGGCCAUAAAGAGCUAAGGGGAGGAUGGAGGAGGGUGGGACUUGGGAAUAGCUAGGAUGGGGGAGGGUGGGACUUGGGAAUAAGCUGCAUUAUGGCAUCAAAUCUAGCAAAAUGGGCAUUUUGUUGUGUGAGCAUAUCAUCCUUUAGUUGAAGCAUCAUGGCAUCAAAUCCAGCAAGAUGAGCAUUUUGUUGCAUGAGCAUAUCAUUCUUUAGUUGAACCACCUCCUUUAGCUGAACCACCUCAGCUUGAGAAGUUGCUAGCUGAUUUUGCAGCCUGGUUGUCUCAUCCUUGAGCCUAGCAUUUUCGUCCUGGGCAGCUUCCAAGUCAAACAUGAGUUGAGUGAUUAGAUUUGUGGUCAAACAGUUACACUCUAUCAGGGUCUCUAUAUUAAUCAUGUCACCCUCUGUGGCUACCUUUCUAUUUCUUAACUUAACCCCAAAGCUCUCAAACACUGUAGUCAGUAAAAAUCCAUAGGCCAAGUCAUGAGGACCAAUCUCAGGAGAGGUAAUUCUUUUCAUGUGUUUGAUCAUGAGGGCUGGCAAAUUGACCCUCCAAUUCAUCUCAAUUGCAUGCAUGAUCCCAAUAUCCCUUAAGGAUACAUCCUGCCUCCUCUCAUCUCUUGGAACCACUACAUUUUUCACAAUUUCAAAUAACAAUUUAUGAAAAGGUUGUAGUUUACUCUUUGAAACAUUCCUAUGAUUUUUCUUUACUCUCUCCCCAGAGAAUUUCUUGGGGAGGGUGCAAUCCUCAUCAUUCUUCCAUGUGUAAUUCUCUAGUCCUUCUGCAGGGAUCUGCAGAAUUUCUCCUAAUUUAGCAGAAUCGAACACAAUCUCUACUCCCCCAACUGAAGAAUAAAUGAUUGAUUCACAAAUAAUUUUCAAAUUGACAUAGAAUUCAACAACCUCCUCCUCAUAAACAGCUAUCGUAAGAUCCCUGAACAAAUGGGCCCAUCCUUGAAAGUUAAGCCUAUCUAACAACUUUUGAACAAUGGGAUUGCUCAUAACUUUAGGGUCAAAGACCCUUCCCCUCAGCACAGACUUUGAACCAUAGUAAUCAUCUUUACCCAUAGCAAGAAACUUUUCAAGGUUUCGGUUAAAACGUCUUACCUUUGGAUGAGUAGGAACAUACUUCUCCUGCUCAGAGUCGUCCUCAAUCUCAGCGGGCACUUCAGAUUCCUCAAUCAUAUAUUCCCCUUUAGUCUCUGAGGAUCUCGCCCUUUUGCUUGACUCGGCAGCUACCUUGAGUUCUGUUGUGCGCUUGCGGGUUUGAUGAAUACGAACUGGAGAUGUGGGGGUGACAGAGUUCUUAGGUUUAUGGGUGGCUUUGGGCUUGUGGAUAAUGGCAAAGGAAAGAUCAUCCUCAUUGUUGGGCGAGUUAUACGCUGGUGAAAAAAAGGUUGAUUGGGGAGGGUUCUCAGUCUCUGCAGUUGCCUCCUCCUCUGAGCUCCAACUAUAAUUCAAGGAAUCGGAGGGUUUUGGCGAGGACGAAUUUGGAGAUGAGGGUUUUGUAGAGAAGGAUUUUGGUGGUGAAAAGGUCUUUGGAGAGGAUGGUGAUCUUUCAUGGGCAAAGGGAAGAGUAGGUGAUGGGGAGCGGGAUCCGUUCAAAAAUUCUCCAUGAGAAUGUGCCGCCAUUGAUCGAUUCAAAACUUUCUAUCUAAACUAUAUGCAAAUUUUCUUCUUUAUCUUUAUAAGACAAAGUGCAUUUGACUUCCUAAUUCUGCUAUCAAAAUUUGAAAUUUAUAGUGUUGGAAUUCUUCCUUUUCUAUGUGAGUAAAAGGUUUUUCUAACCAAAAUAUAUCUUUUCCAAUGAUCAAGGGCGGCGGCUCUACCCUUUUAUUAAAAAAAAAAAAAAGUGAUUUCUUGGGCCCCCGAACUUGAGGGCCUCAUCCCCCCAACCUCUUUUUUUUUUUUAGCAAUAAUAAAUUAUCAAAAUACAAACUAUUGUAAAUUUAUAUAAUCUAUAAAAGAAAAGUAAAUUUAAUUCAAAAUACAAUAAAUUAUCUCCCUCCGUCCCAAAUUACCCGUCACAAAUUGAGAUGGCACAUUGAUUAAGAAAAAUAAUUAAUAACAUGCCUAGUUUACCAUAAUACCUCUAUUAAAUGAUGUUUACAUUUUAAUUUGAAGAAAAAAUAAGUAAUGCAAAGGGUUAACAUGGAAAAUUUUUUUUGUUUCUUCUUGAUGAAUGAAAAAAAACAAGUAAAAUGGGAAAUCAAAUUAGAAAAUUUGGGACGGAGGGAGUACUUUCUAAAGAGAGAGGUACAUGAAUUAAUUCUUUAAAGUGAGUCUAAUCCAAGGUUCAAUGAAAUCAUAAGCCCAUUCACUGAUUCACAUUAAAAAACAGUCAAAAACAAUUUAACAUUUAUUACAAUAAAGUCACUCAAUUAUUGAAAAAAUAUCAAAAGAUCAAAGACACCAUUAAAGUUUCUUUCCUCCACUGAACUCAUGAUUUGAUUUUCCAAAAAAAUAAAAAAUAUAAACAGUAGAGUAUAAUUAAGCAACAAAUUAAUUAAUCAAAAGAGGAAAAUUGCCCCCUCCUAUUUGCUCCAAUUUCUUGCCUGCUGAAUUUUUAGAAGUGUUACUGCUCCCACUAAUUUUAUUUAGAUAGGACAUGAUACAAUUUCAGGUCAUCGAGGAUAUGUAUGAAGGACGCGUAUUAGAAUAGAGUGAUAAUUGGGUGGAGUGUUGUGUGUCGCUUUUUGAGGUUUUAAGCUUAUUGGUGUUUGUUGUGCACUAGUCAUAGUAUGAUAGUUUAAGGUUUUGUCAUAAAUAUGGAGGUGGAGCUGAUCCCUACUUCUGAUAUCUAUGUAUUGUUUAUUGUGUUACGAUUAUUACAUUAUUUUGUGAUUGAUUAUUGUUUCUUUCUUUUAGACUUUGCACUGUUCUCUUAUUAGUUGCUGCAUUUUCUUCAUUAUUUCCUUCUUGUUUGUACCUGGAUUUGUAUACUUGAGCCAACUGUCUUUUGGAAACUGUCUCUCUACCUCUCUGAGGUAGUGGUAAGGUCUGCGCAUACUCUACCCUCCCUAAUCCUCACUUGUGGGAGUUCACUAGGCAUCUUCUUGUUGUAAAAAUGCACACCCAAAGGAAGCUAAGUCUUGAUUUUGUAGAGAAAUCUCUCCAUUUUAAAGCAAUUCUGAGUGACACUGCUUCUAAUGUUUAUUAGCUUUGUAGAUUUAGGAGCCCUUCUUUGUCUGAUGGCUAGAAAUAAUGUUGUAAGACUUUUGUGUUUUCAUAUAUAUCAAGUAAUGUAAAGACUUCUUUAUGAUUUCUUUUUUCUUCAAAAAAUAACAAUAAUAAGGGUGAAGAUUGUUUUUCUGUAAUUAAUAGAAAUAAAAACAGUUUACUCUCUUUUGCUGGCUAGAUGACUUUAUACUUUACUAUAGGUAAGUUUUCAGCUUCGUCGACUUUGAUUGAACGUGAUAAUUUUGCACCCAAAUCUAUCCGAAUAAAUAAGUUCAGCAAUUGCUUCUUAUUAGUUUCUGGAGGAAAAGCAUGUUUCUCUGCCCUUUUUGUUUUAGCUCUCAUUUGUUUUGGUUAUGUGAAGCACCUCCUAUGUAUUUUAAUAUAGUUAUGCUCAUCUGGAUACAACUCAGUUACUAUUCCCU